GGGGCUGACUGGAUUUGACAGCAAGUGUUUUAAAUAAUAAGCAUGUCGAGCAUUGUAUUUUAACUCGUAAAUUAGUAAAAUUCACUUUUUUAAUUGGCGAAAAUAAUUACGCUUUAGCUGCCUAAUUUAUAUAAUUAAGUAAGCUUUUGUCUCUUUUAUAGUGAUCUCCUGAUUCCUAUAAAUCAUGAGGCAUAAUGAAUUUCAGGAUAGUUGUUUUGUAGCUUUGACAAAAUAGCGAAAUUUUAAAAGCUAAGGAUUAGAUUUGGUUGCUUUUUUCCUAUCUAAUUUCGAAAAAUAAAAUAAGAUAAACAUGUAGAAAGUUAUUUUAUUCCUUGUUUGGACGGGGGUUCGAUACCCCCCAGCUCCACAA
rnacentral:tmRNA from 1 species